rnacentral:rRNA from 1 species
UACGGAGGGGGCUAGCGUUGUUCGGAAUUACUGGGCGUAAAGCGCACGUAGGCGGCUUUGUAAGUUAGAGGUGAAAGCCCGGGGCUCAACUCCGGAAUUGCCUUUAAGACUGCAUCGCUAGAAUUGUGGAGAGGUAAGUGGAAUUCCGAGUGUAGAGGCGAAAUUCGUAGAUAUUCGGAAGAACACCAGUGGCGAAGGCGACUUACUGGACACAUACUGACGCUGAGGUGCGAAAGCGUGGGGAGCAAACAGG